rnacentral:rRNA from 1 species
UACGUAGGGGGCAAGCGUUUGUCCGGAUUUAUUGGGCGUAAAGAGCGUGUAGGCGGCUUUACAGGUCCGUUGUGAAAACUCGAGGCUCAACCUCGAGACGCCGGUGGAAACCGUAAGGCUAGAGUCCGGAAGAGGAGAGUGGAAUUCCUGGUGUAGCGGUGAAAUGCGCAGAUAUCAGGAGGAACACCCGUGGCGAAAGCGGCUCUCUGGGACGGUACUGACGCUGAGACGCGAAAAGCGUGGGGGAGCAAACAGG